UACGAGUGAUAAGUACGUGUAUAUCUGAAUGGGAGAGUGCUUCCAAACUAAUGCGGAUACGUAUUUGAAGUUAUUUUUCCCAUCUCCGGAGGCCUCCUCGCUGCUCCAGAACUUGAACGAAUGCCCGGUUCAGUUGCCACAAAUGGCAAUUUCUUGUGUUCAAGAUUCCUGAAUACUGACUGCUCCAUUCUGCUCCGCUCUGCUCUGCGGCUAUUUUCUAGCCCAAUGCUUAUGCGUGCAAGUGCUUUUCUUUUGGUCUGCGUCCGGGUAUUCCCCCGCAGCCACAGUGACGCCUCGGCACACCGCUCGCAUCGGCUAGUGCCUUCAGUGGAUUGAUAGAGACAAAGAGACAGACCCUAUCAAGCCUGCAAUGGCUUACAUAAACGAUUAGUCUCUCAUGGGGCUGUACAUGCAGCCGUAAUCUAAUGAACAACCGAAAUCAUGGUUAUUGGAUAAUUAUUGCUAGUACUGUUGAUACCUGUCUUCAUAUAAUUAAUUAUAAUUACAGUUUGGAGCUCGUGCAAUAAAUAUACAACUUUCUUUGAUUGAA